rnacentral:rRNA from 1 species
AUAUUGAACGCUGGCGGCAGGCCUAACACGUGCAAGUCGAGCGGAUGAAGGGAGCUUGCUCCUGGAUUCAGCGGCGGACGGGUGAGUAAUGCCUAGGAAUCUGCCUGGUAGUGGGGGAUAACGUCCGGAAACGGGCGCUAAUACCGCAUACGUCCUGAGGGAGAAAGUGGGGGAUCUUCGGACCUCACGCUAUCAGAUGAGCCUAGGUCGGAUUAGCUAGUUGGUGGGGUAAAGGCCUACCAAGGCGACGAUCCGUAACUGGUCUGAGAGGAUGAUCAGUCACACUGGAACUGAGACACGGUCCAGACUCCUACGGGAGGCAGCAGUGGGGAAUAUUGGACAAUGGGCGAAAGCCUGAUCCAGCCAUGCCGCGUGUGUGAAGAAGGUCUUCGGAUUGUAAAGCACUUUAAGUUGGGAGGAAGGGCAGUAAGUUAAUACCUUGCUGUUUUGACGUUACCAACAGAAUAAGCACCGGCUAACUUCGUGCCAGCAGCCGCGGUAAUACGAAGGGUGCAAGCGUUAAUCGGAAUUACUGGGCGUAAAGCGCGCGUAGGUGGUUCAGCAAGUUGGAUGUGAAAUCCCCGGGCUCAACCUGGGAACUGCAUCCAAAACUACUGAGCUAGAGUACGGUAGAGGGUGGUGGAAUUUCCUGUGUAGCGGUGAAAUGCGUAGAUAUAGGAAGGAACACCAGUGGCGAAGGCGACCACCUGGACUGAUACUGACACUGAGGUGCGAAAGCGUGGGGAGCAAACAGGAUUAGAUACCCUGGUAGUACACGCCGUAAACGAUGUCGACUAGCCGUUGGGAUCCUUGAGAUCUUAGUGGUGCAGCUAACGCGAUAAGUCGACCGUCUGGGGAGUACGGCCGCAAGGUUAAAACUCAAAUGAAUUGACGGGGGCCCGCACAAGCGGUGGAGCAUGUGGUCUAAUUUGAAGCAACGCGAAGACCCUUUCCUGACCUUGACAUGUUGAGACCUUUCCAGAGAUGGAUUGUUUCCUUCG